rnacentral:rRNA from 1 species
ACUGCGAGUGAAGCGGGAAAAGCUCAAAUUUAAAAUCUGGUGGUCUUUGGCCAUCCGAGUUGUAAUCUAGAGAAGUGUUAUCCGCGCUGGACCGUGUACAAGUCCCCUGGAAUGGGGCGUCAUAGAGGGUGAGAAUCCCGUCUUUGACACGGACUACCAGGGCUUUGUGAUGCACUCUCAAAGAGUCGAGUUGUUUGGGAAUGCAGCUCAUAAUGGGUGGUAAAUUCCAUCUAAAGCUAAAUAUUGGCGAGAGACCGAUAGCGAACAAGUACCGUGAGGGAAAGAUGAAAAGAACUUUGGAAAGAGAGUUAAACAGUACGUGAAAUUGUUGAAAGGGAAACGCUUGAAGUCAGUCGCGUCUGCCAGGGAUCAACCUUACUUUUGUGAGGCGUACUUCCUGGUUGAUGGGUCAGCAUCAGUUUUGGUCGCUGGAUAAAGGUCAGAGAAAUGUGGCACCUUCGGGUGUGUUAUAGUCUUGGAUCAGAUACAAUGGCUGGGACUGAGGAACUCAGCGCCGCAAGGCUGUCUUAGGAUGCUGGCAAA